GACAUCCGAAUAAAAAGUUAUUGUCGUUUGAAUUUGCUCAGAGCUUCAACAUUCAAUUUCGAGCGUUCCGAUAUAUUACGGGACUCAAUCAGACAUCCGAGUAAAAAGUUAUUGUCGUUUGAAUUUGCUCAGAGCUUCUACAUUCAAUUUCGAGCGUUCCGAUAUGUUACGGGACUCAAUCGGACAUCCGAGUAAAAAGUUAUUGUCGUUUUAAUUUGCUCAG
rnacentral:lncRNA from 1 species